AGAGUUUGAUCCUGGCUCAGGAUGAACGCUAGCGGCGUGCUUUAAGCAUGCAAGUGGGACGGGUCACCGCAAGGUGACCAGUCGCGAACGGCUGAGUAAUACGUAAGUACUUACCCCAUGGUGUGGAAUACCUUGCCGAAAGGCAAGCUAAUACCGCAUGACCUCCAAUUUAUUGGAGAAAAGGAUUUAACUAUCCGCCGAGGGAGAGGCUUGCGGCCCAUCAGCUAGUUGGUAGGGUAAAAGCCUACCAAGGCUACGACGGGUAGGGGAUGUGAGAGCAUGUUCCCCCAGAAAGGCACUGAGACACGGGCUAUACAUCUACGGAUGGCAGCAACUGGGAAUAUUGCGCAAUGGGCGAAAGCCUGACGCAGCGACACCGCGUGGGGGAUGAAGGCCUUAGGGUCGUAAACCCCUUUUGACAGGGAAUCCCGCAAGGGGUACGGUACCUGUGGAAUAAGCAUCUGCUAACCACGUGCCAGCAGCCGCGGUAAUACGUGGGAUGCGAACGUUAUCCGGAUUUACUGGGCGUAAAGAGUUCGUAGGCGUUUUUCUAAGUUUCAUUUGAAAUACCGAGGCUUAACUUCGGGACCGGAUGAAAUACUAGAAGGAUUGAGUCGGUUAGGGGGUACUGGAAUUGACAGUGUAGCAGUGAAAUGCGUUGAUAUUGUCAAGAACACCAAGGGCGAAGGCAGGUACCUGGGACCGCACUGACGCUGAGGAACGAAAGCUAGGGGAGCGAAAGGGAUUAGAUACCCUGGUAGUC
rnacentral:rRNA from 1 species